rnacentral:misc_RNA from 1 species
GAUGAAGAACGUAGCGAAAUGCGAUAAGUAAUGUGAAUUGCAGAAUUCAGUGAAUCAUCGAGUCUUUGAACACACAUUGCGCCCCCUGGUAUUCCGGGGGGCAUGCCUGUCCGAGCGUCAUUGCUGCCCUCAAGCACGGCUUGUGUGUUGGGCCGUCGUCCCCCUCCUAGGGGACGGGCCCGAAAGGCAGCGGCGGCACCGCGUCCGGUCCUCGAGCGUAAGGGGCUUCGUCACCCGCUCCGUAGGCCCGGCCGGCGCUUGCCGACGACCAUCAAUCUCUUUCUCCAGGUUGACCUCGGAUCAGGUAGGGAUACCCGCUGAACUUAAGCAUAUCAAUAAGCGGAGGA